ACCUCACCUGUCACUCUGCAAUGAAGCUUCACCCCGCGUCGCUGACAUGGUCCUCUUCCAUUUCCUCCACAACAACCAUUACUCGUUCGACGGAAUUCCCAAACGAAAACCACAGAAAUGCUCCAAAGCCACCUCAUUCUUUUAGCGUCCAAUCGUUGAAGCGGCGCUCGAAACCGGCGUCUUCGGGGCUCCAGAAGGACCCAAAGAAGGACCUGUCACGCAUUCUCCGAACCGAAGCCGCUAUAAAAGGCGUGGAGAACAAAGGCAAGUCUUGGAAGCACAGACAGCUUUGGCCAAAGGCCGUUCUCGAAGCUUUGGAUGACGCCAUCAAAGGGUGUCGAUGGCAGGAUGCUCUUAAGAUUUUUGCACUUCUUCGUAAGCAACAUUGGUAUGAACCAAGAUGCCAAUCAUAUGCAAAGCUGUUGAUGAUGCUUGGCAAAUGCAGGCAGCCAGAAGAGGCUAGUAAGCUCUUUGAGAUCAUGUUGUCUGAAGGGCUUAAACCUACUGUUGAUGUCUUCACUGCUCUUGUAAGUGUUUACGGUCAAAGUGGUCUCCUUCAGCAGGCAUUUUCUAUACUUGAAGAUAUGAAAUCAGUUGUUGACUGCAAACCAGAUAUAUAUACAUAUUCUAUUCUUAUCAGUUGCUGUGCAAAGUUUCAUCGUUUUGAUUUUAUUGAACACAUUCUUUCGGAGAUGUCAUAUCUGGGUGUUGAAUGUAACAGUGUGACAUAUAAUUCCAUAAUUGAUGGAUAUGGUAAGGCUAGCAUGUUUGAACACAUGGAGAAUUCACUGAUAGAUAUGAUUGAAAAUGGAAACUGCCAACCCGAUGUUUUCACGCUGAAUUCUAUUGUAGGAUCAUAUGGAAAUGGUGGGGUAAUUGAUAAGAUGGAGAAGUGGUUUGAUGAAUUUCAGCUAAUGGGCAUAAAGCCAGACAUAAAGACGUUCAAUAUGAUGAUAAAGUCCUAUGGCAAAGCAGGAAUGUAUGAUAAGAUGAAGUCUGUUAUGGAUUUCAUGGAGAGGAGGUUUUUCAGUCCGACAAUUGUAACAUAUAAUACAGUCAUUGAGGUGUUUGGCAAAGCAGGAGAAAUUGAGAAGAUGGAUAAACACUUUAAGAAAAUGAAGCAUCUAGGAGUGAAGCCUAAUUCUAUAACUUAUUGCUCGCUUGUCAAUGCAUAUAGCAAAGCUGGGUGUGUUGACAAAGUUGAUGCAAUCAUGAGGCAUGUACGGAAUUCGGAUGUAGUAUUGGAUACUCCCUUCUUUAAUUGCAUAAUUAGUGCCUAUGGUCAAGCUGGUGACUUAAAAAAGAUGGGUGAGUUGUUCUUGGCAAUGAGAGAAAGAAAAUGUGAGCCUGAUAACAUCACUUUCGCUUGCAUGACCCAGGCUUAUAAUACCCAAGGCAUGACUGACACUGCUCAAAAUUUGGAAAACAUGAUGAUUACUGCUAAAGAGAGCUUUGGCACCAAGUUGAUUGGUUGCUAGCGUGGCCAAUUGUGAUUGCAGACUUUACUAUUCUUGUCAGCAUUUUUGCACGGUGAUCCGAUCUUGGAAAGAUUUGAGAACUUUAGCAGUAAAAGAUUAAGUACUCUGGUAACACUGAAGAUAUGCUUCUCGUCAAGGUGGCCAAGGAGGACAAUUAGAGAAGAUCUUGAUGGGUAAAGGAAGAGGAUAUGUCUUGCAAAGUGUUUUGGACUGGACCUCACAUUGGGCCUAAGAGCUUGAUGGCCCAUCACAUGAAGGCCGAAGAAUUGGACCAGGAGCAGAGAUGCCACCUCCCUUGGCAAUUUAAACAGAAAAUGAUUUUCAGAGAGAAUUAACUCCCUUGAUUACACACUUAAAGGGACAUUAUGAACAUUAGUGGCAAGAAUCCGGACUAGAACUGUGCCCAUAGUAGUAACCAUUACAGAUGGUAUAGGUAACGAUCUAAUACCAACACAUUAUCCUAAAGAAGCUAAAUUAAAAUACUAAUUUGAGUGUUGGAAUGCCUUGGAGUGUUUGGAGUAACAACUUGAAUGUUUGGAGUCUUGAAUAGAAGACAACUUUAAAUAAGGGUUGUGGUUACUGCCCUGGGGUGUUGCAUCCAUAAAGUCUAUUGAAAUAUCAAAUGAAUGAAAAUGUUAAUAAAAUGUCAAAUAUAAAAUCUAUAUAUAUCCUCAUUGAGGCUAUGUCCUUAGUUGACAAAUACACCAUUUAUAGUUAAGUGUGAUAUAUGAAUAUUAUCAAUUAUAUAACUGAAAUGUCAUAAAAUGAGGAAAUAUACUUAACAACCUAGAGGACCUAAGGGCUAAGGGUAGCAUAGGACCAACUUCUGGUACUGAAUCCUCCUAUAUAGGUUCACUGAUCCUUUGAGAAGCCAUGUGGAUGAGUUUGUCCCAUUCACACAGCUGAGGUAAAAUGAGUGGCACCCCAAUUUCUGAUGUGUCCAUUUUGUAUUGGGCGGGUUUUUGUUUAACCCCCC